rnacentral:lncRNA from 1 species
UACCCAAAUCUUUAUAUCCUACAAGGGAGGGGAUUGGGUAGUCUAAACCUAGAUCUGAACUAUCAUAAGGAAUCUACCCUUAACUAGGUCAUGCUGGUAUAUUACCUUACAUAUCUCGAAACCCGUUUGGGUUUCCCAUGCCAAUCAUUAUCCAUAUCUAUAAGGAGCCUUCUUAAACAAGACGUCCUUAUAUUUGACUUUAUCCUUAAACCCAUAUGUGGGUUCUAUAUCCAUCACAAUCCCUAAACCCGUGUGGGUUCUCCUAUCUGUCACUAUCCUAAUGUGACACUUCCAUUGCAUCUCAAAAAAAAAAAUUAGCAUACCUUCAAAAUUAAAAAUUAAAAAAAGAAAAAAAUAGUUUUCCAUACAUACACAUACAUUUGCAUAUCCUUUCC